AUUAAUAAUAUCGAAGUUUCAAGCAUUACAAAUUUCUUUCCUCACAACAAAUAAUACAUUGUGAUUCUACAAAUUUCUCUAAAACUUUUUUCCUUUUCUCUGCAGGGUUCGUUCUCGUCUUUGCUGCUUAUUGGUCUUUCCCUGCCCCUCCGAGCAGGGGAGGGUUUCCCUUCCCCCUAACCCGGCCAUGGGUUCCCCCUCUUCCUCCGAUAUUGGGAUGUAUAUAUUGUUAUGGUUCUUUUGAGCAACUAGGUUUUCAUGCAAAGGGAUGAUAUGUGCUACUCGGAGUUGCGUUGCUUUUUCUGUUGUUCUUCCUGCUUAUGCAUUGCAAGUUUUAUGAGAGAGAGGGUAUUGGUGUGAUUUUCUGCUUGCUGAUGGCAUGAGGAUGUGCUCUGUGUAGAGGCUGGUAUCUCAGUAGAUUCUUUAUGAGCCAGUAAAGCGUGAGUGGGUCGCCGAGAACUCUGCCACCUCCUCCUCCACCCCUGAAUUUCUCUGAUUUUUCUCGGCCUGGGAUAAUCUGCUUGGAACAGUGAAGCCUCGGUUUGAGGCUCUCUUUGAUUUUCAGUUUGGAUUUUAA
rnacentral:misc_RNA from 1 species